rnacentral:lncRNA from 1 species
GCAGUAGCUAGGCUAUCUCACUCUGACACUAUCAACCGCCAUACUUUGCACCGCAUGGGUUUUUUCAAAACUGAUGGUGGUUGGACAAAAGGUGUGGAAGAGAGAGCUGAGGACAGAGUAGAGGAGGAAGGACCAUCCUCACCCCUCUGUGAUCACAGGGUUGUAUCUCCAAAUAUUUAGUUUAUUUCUAAUCAUGAGGCUAGCCCGUCAGAGUCUGCAAGGAGGCAUACUUCAGUUCA